rnacentral:rRNA from 1 species
CCUGGCUCAGGAUGAACGCUAGCGGCAUGCCUAAUACAUGCAAGUCGAGGGAUAAGCUUUCGAGCUAAAACCGGCGUACGGUUGCGUAACGCGUAUACAAUCUGCCUUUCACUGGCGGAUAGCCCGAAGAAAUUUGGAUUAAUACCCCAUAGGAUAAUGGUGUGGCAUCAUAUUAUUAUUAAAGCUACGGUGGUGAAAGAUGAGUAUGCGUUCUAUUAGCUAGUUGGAGAGGUAACGGCUCCCCAAGGCUACGAUAGAUAGGGGUUCUGAGAGGGAUGUCCCCCACACUGGUACUGAGAUACGGACCAGACUCCUACGG